rnacentral:rRNA from 1 species
GUAAUGUCUGGGAAACUGCCUGAUGGAGGGGGAUAACUACUGGAAACGGUGGCUAAUACCGCAUAACGUCGCAAGACCAAAGAGGGGGACCUUCGGGCCUCUUGCCAUCAGAUGUGCCCAGAUGGGAUUAGCUUGUUGGUGAGGUAACGGCUCACCAAGGCGACGAUCCCUAGCUGGUCUGAGAGGAUGACCAGCCACACUGGAACUGAGACACGGUCCAGACUCCUACGGGAGGCAGCAGUGGGGAAUAUUGCACAAUGGGCGCAAGCCUGAUGCAGCCAUGCCGCGUGUAUGAAGAAGGCCUUCGGGUUGUAAAGUACUUUCAGCGGGGAGGAAGGUGUUGUGGUUAAUAACCGCAGCAAUUGACGUUACCCGCAGAAGAAGCACCGGCUAACUCCGUGCCAGCAGCCGCGGUAAUACGGAGGGUGCAAGCGUUAAUCGGAAUUACUGGGCGUAAAGCGCACGCAGGCGGUCUGUCAAGUCGGAUGUGAAAUCCCCGGGCUCAACCUGGGAACUGCAUUCGAAACUGGCAGGCUUGAGUCUUGUAGAGGGGGGUAGAAUUCCAGGUGUAGCGGUGAAAUGCGUAGAGAUCUGGAGGAAUACCGGUGGCGAAGGCGGCCCCCUGGACAAAGACUGACGCUCAGGUGCGAAAGCGUGGGGAGCAAACAGGAUUAGAUACCCUGGUAGUCCACGCCGUAAACGAUGUCUACUUGGAGGUUGUGCCCUUGAGGCGUGGCUUCCGGAGCUAACGCGUUAAGUAGACCGCCUGGGGAGUACGGCCGCAAGGUUAAAACUCAAAUGAAUUGACGGGGGCCCGCACAAGCGGUGGAGCAUGUGGUUUAAUUCGAUGCAACGCGAAGAACCUUACCUGGUCUUGACAUCCACAGAAGAAUCCAGAGAUGGAUUUGUGCCUUCGGGAACUGUGAGACAGGUGCUGCAUGGCUGUCGUCAGCUCGUGUUGUGAAAUGUUGGGUUAAGUCCCGCAACGAGCGCAACCCUUAUCCUUUGUUGCCAGCGGUC